UGAGUUUGAUCCUGGCUCAGAUUGAACGCUGGUGGUAUGCUUUACACAUGCAAGUCAAACUUAAUUUACUUUUUAUUUUAUUUAAUAAAAGUGUUAAAUUUUAGUGGCGAACGGGUGAGUAAUACAUAGGAAUUUUCCAAUAAAAGGGGGAUAACUGUUUUAAUCUAUAGUUAAUACCGCAUAAUUUAUUAAAGAUUUUUUAUAAAAAUUAUCGUUUAUUGAUAAGCCUAUGUUGGAUUAGCUAGUUGGUAAGGUAAUAGCUUACCAAGGCUAUGAUCCAUAGCUGUUCUGAGAGGAAGAUCAGCCACAUUGGGACUGAGACACGGCCCAAACUCCUACGGGAGGCAGCAGUGGGGAAUAUUGGACAAUGAGGGAAACCUUGAUCCAGCAAUACCAUGUGUGUGAAGAAGGCUUUCGAGUUGUAAAACACUUUAAUUAGGGAAGAAGUAAAUAAAAUUAAUAAAAAUGUUUAUUGACGGUACCUAAAAAAUAAGUACCGGCUAACUCCGUGCCAGCAGCCGCGGUAAUACGGAGGGUACAAGCGUUAAUCGGAAUUACUGGGCGUAAAGAGUUCGUAGGCGGUAUAGUAAGUCAAUUAUAAAAUUUUUAAGCUUAACUUAAUUUCUGUAUUUGAUACUAUUAUUACUGGAGUUUAUUAGGGGAUUGUGGAAUUUUCGGUGUAGUAGUGAAAUGCGUAGAUAUCGAAAGGAACAUCAAUAGCGAAGGCAACAAUCUGGGUAUAAACUGACGCUGAGGAACGAAAGCAUGGGUAGCAAACAGGAUUAGAUACCCUGGUAGUCCAUGCUGUAAACGAUGAGUACUAGUUGUUAGAUUUGGUGUAAUAGAUUUAGUGACGAAGCUAACGCAUUAAGUACUCCGCCUGGGGAAUACGACCGCAAGGUUAAAACUCAAAGGAGUUGACGGGGACUCGUACAAGCGGUGGAGCAUGUGGUUUAAUUCGAUGCAACGCGAAAAACCUUACCUACCCUUGACAUCUAUAGAAGAACUAAGAAAUUAGUUUGUGCUUUUUAGAACUAUAAGACAGGUACUGCAUGGCUGUCGUCAGCUCGUGUUGUGAAAUGUUGGGUUAAGUCCCGCAACGAGCGUAACCCUUGUUUUUAUUUGCCAGCAUAUAACGAUGGGAACUAUAAAAAUACUGCCGUUGAUAAAACGGAGGAAGGUGAGGACGACGUCAAGUCAUUAUGGUCCUUAUGGGUAGGGCUACACACGUGCUACAAUGGAUAUUACAAAUAGAUGCAAUUAGGUAACUAUGAGCUAAUCUGCAAAAAAUAUUCUUAGUUCGGAUUAAUCUCUGCAACUCGAGAUUAUGAAGUAGGAAUCGCUAGUAAUCGCAAAUCAGCAUGUUGCGGUGAAUAUGUUCUCGGGUCUUGUACACACCGCCCGUCACACCAUGGAAGUGUGUCGCAAAAGAAGUAAGAAAUUAAACUUUUUUAUUAAAUUAGUUUUUACCACUUUGUGAUUCAUAACUGGGGUGAAGUCGUAACAAG
rnacentral:rRNA from 1 species